rnacentral:snRNA from 1 species
AUCUAUGGUGCGCAGUGGCAGUAUCAUAGCCAAUGAGGUCAAACCGAGGCGUGAUUAUUGCUAAUUGUGAUGAAGCUGAAGCUGAAGCUUGAUGAAAGCGGAGGGGCUGUGUUCCCAUUAGGGAAGAGCUGCUGACUUAUUUUUUGUCGGGGGCUUCGCACAUGCUC